rnacentral:rRNA from 1 species
GUGAGGCGCCGGUCAAGUUGCUUCGAACAAUGAACGCCGUGCGGACAAUGAUUGCUCUUAGUGGGCCGAUUUUGGUAAGCAGAACUGGCGAUGCGGGAUGAACCGAAAGCGACGCUAAGGUGCCAAACUCCCGGCUCAUUCAGACACCAGAAAAGGUGUUGAUUCAUACAGACAGCAGGACGGUGGCCAUGGAAGUCGGAAUCCGCUAAGGAGUGUGUAACAACUCACCUGCCGAAUGGAUCAGCCCUGAAAAUGGAUGGCGCUUAAGCAGGGGACCGAGGCGUUGCCGUUGGGGCAAAUACGAGGCCCUGAUGAGUAGGAGGGCGUGGGGGUUUUGAAAUACGGUACAUUCGCGUGGAAGCCUUGGGCGUGAGCUCGGGUGGAGCGGCCCCUAGUGUAGAUCUUGGUGGUAGUAGCAAAUAUUCAAGUGGGAACCUUGAAGACUGAAGUGGGGAAGGGUUCCACGCGAACAGUGCUUGGACGUGGGUUAGUCGGUCCUAAGAGAUGGGGAAACUCUGUAGCCAAGUGCGCUCUUAUUUUUUCGCAGCGCAGUCCAUCAAAAGGGAAGCGGGUUAACAUUCUCGCACCGGGAUGUGGAAACUGUGGUUACCGCAAACUGCGGCAACGCAAAUGAACUUGGGGACGCCCGUAGGAGCUCCGAACAGGGAUCUCUUUCCUGUUUAACGCGCUCAACCCCCUGGAAUCGGUUUGUCCGGAGAUAGGGGGCGGAAGGCCGGAAAAGCACCGCACGUCUUGUGGUGUUCGGAACGCUCGUAAUGGCCCUUGAAAACCCAGGGGAAAGCAGCCGUCCACGCGCCUCUUCUGGAUGCGGGACGAGUAAUUCUCACACCUGGCCGUACCCAUAACCGCAUCAGGUCCCCAAGGUGAACAGCCUCUAGUCAAUAGAAUAAUGUAGAUAAGGGAAGUCGGCAAAAUAGAUCCGUAACUUUGGGAAAAGGAUUGGCUCUAAUGUUCGGGCCUGUUGGGACGCGCGGGCCUAGACGCCAGCGAGCGGCAGAAGGCUACCCCUUUUUCCGGGAUGGCUGGAAGCUGCUUGUUGGAAGAAACCGUGUCGAAUAGAGGCUAGCUGGGUGGCGCCCCCCUUUGCUUUCGGGGAGGGGGGGGCCCGCCUGCUGUGCUUCUUCCCGCUUGCGAUCAACGAACGGAUUAGAACUGGUACGGACAAGGGGAAUCCGACUGUUUAAUUAAAACAAAGCAUUGCGACGCCCGCAAACGGUGUUAACGCAAUGUGAUUUCUGCCCAGUGCUCUGAAUGUCAAAGUGAAGAAAUUCAACCAAGCGCGGGUAAACGGCGGGAGUAACUAUGACUCUCUUUUCCUGUGUACGCGCGCGCGCCCCGCUGCGCUACUUUUUGAGAGAGAUAGGCGGGCUGAAAAAGGUUAAGCCGUCUAGUUCCUCUUUCCCUAUGGAGAGAGGGGCAACACACCUGGUUGCGGGGACCCUGCCCGCCUUUUUUUCCAAGAAAAAGGCGGGAACCAGCCCAUUCCUACCCCUGCUUGUGAGGCAUAUAGUAAGUAGCAGCAGGGGGAUCUCGGCGAGAGGCCGAACCCGGAAAAAGGAACAACGUGGGCUGGGAGGCAACCUGCAGGCGAGUCCGUAACUAUAUGAUUAUCGACGGGCCGUCUCAACGACUGGUAAGGUGUGGGUUUGCUUUGACAAAAAAGCGGGCUUAAGGUACAGUCUAAUCCCACCCGCCAAGGGUGCUUGGGUGUAAUCCCCGUAUGCAAAAAGGGGGGGAACUAGCCCAGGGGCUGGGACGAUGGGAGGAAAUGCCCCGUCCCUAUAGUCGGUAGAAAUGAAGGUAGCCAAAUGCCUCGUCAUCUAGACACUACUUGGAUGAGAUAGUCUGAGUGAAAAGCUUAUGCAGGCUAGUACACAAAGCAGCUUUUUCUGCUUGCGUGCGACACUCCUUGUACAGGGAAGCCCUCCACUGAAAGGCACGUGGUACCACCCUCUGCGGGGAAACUCGCGGGCGGGGAUCCCGGGUAAUGACCGGAGCCGAUGGUAAAAACCCACGUGACCUAUGGGGUGACCCUGUGGCGAGAGGCUACGUCGUAAAAAGAAACACUUGCGAUAUGCCUCCGUCGCAGAGACUGAACGGGAGUGGGCUGAGGUUCUCCCGUAGUGGAGAAUUUUUGGCUUGAGAUACAGUCCGAGCCUCAGGGAUGGAAAAAAAACCUGCGGAACAGCUCGAAUUAGUGACGCGCAUGAAUGGAUUAACGAGAUUCCCACUGUCCCUAUCUACUAUCUAGCGAAACCACAGCCAAGGGAACGGGCUUGGAAGAAUCAGCGGGGAAAGAAGACCCUGUUGAGCUUGACUCUAGUCCGACUUUGUGAGAUGAGU